rnacentral:rRNA from 1 species
CCUACGGGUGGCAGCAGUCGAGAAUCAUUCACAAUGGGGGAAACCCUGAUGGUGCGACGCCGCGUGGGGGAAUGAAGGUCUUCGGAUUGUAAACCCCUGUCAUGUGGGAGCAAAUUAAAAAGAUAGUACCACAAGAGGAAGAGACGGCUAACUCUGUGCCAGCAGCCGCGGUAAUACAGAGGUCUCAAGCUGUGUUCGGAAUCACGGGGUGUAAAGCGUGCGUAGGCUGUUUCGUAAGUCGUGUGUGAAAGGCGAGGGCUCAACCCGCGGACGGCACAUGAUACUGCAAGACUAGAGUAAUGGAGGGGGAACCGGAAUUCUCGGUGUAGCAGUGAAAUGCGUAGAUAUCGAGAGGAACACUCGUGGCGAAGGCGGGUUCCUGGACAUUAACUGACGCUGAGGCACGAAGGCCAGGGGAGCGAAAGGGAUUAGAUACCCGAGUAGUC